rnacentral:snRNA from 1 species
GGAUGUGAGAGCGAUCUGGCUGUGACGUCGUCACCACAUUGAUCACCAGGGUUGAUUCGGCUCAUCUGGCUGGCUAGGAGGGUGUCCCCUUCCUCCCUCACUGCUCCACGUGUGUCCCUCCCAAAGCUGCGAAGCUGCGCGCUCGGUCAAAGAGGACGACCUUCCCCGACAGAGGAGGACCGUUUUCCGAUCAAGGUUAUAGAGUAGCUGCGCUCCCCUGCUGGAACCUCCAAGCAAGCUCUCAAAGAGACGCCUGGCAGCACUUCGUUACAGAGCUCUUUGUACCAUGCACAGAUAGUGGCAGAAUGCAGUAAAAUAAUU